rnacentral:rRNA from 1 species
UACGGGGGGGGCAAGCGUUGUUCGGAAUUACUGGGCGUAAAGCGCGCGUAGGCGGUUUUGCAAGCCAGAGGUGAAAUGCCUGAGCUCAACUUAGGAAUUGCCUUUGGGACUGCGAGGCUUUGAGGACUGGAGAGGUGAGUGGAAUUCCCAGUGUAGAGGUGAAAUUCGUAGAUAUUGGGAAGAACACCGGCGGCGAAGGCGGCUCACUGGCCAGUUUCUGACGCUGCAGCGCGAAAGCGUGGGGAUCAAACAGGG